GCUGGGUGUGGUACGAGCCUGUAGUUCUAGCUAAUUGGGAGGCUGAGGUGGGAGGGUCACUAGAGUCCAGGAGCUCUGGACAGUGUGCUAUGCCGAUGGGGUGUCCGCACUAAAUUUGGCAUCAGUAUGGUGCCAUCCUGGGAGCUGGGGACUACCAGGUUGCCUAAGGAGGGGUGGGCCGGCCCAGGUUGGAAAUGGAGCAGGACUAAACCCCUGUGCUGGAUCGUGCCUAUAAAUAACCAGCCUGGGCAAUAUAGUGAGACCCCCAAACCCCUU
rfam:Cavia porcellus supercont2_22 genomic scaffold, whole genome shotgun sequence.